UUUGCAUUUCUCCAGGCUGAUUUUUUUUUUACUUUCAUUUGAUCAUUUACAAGAUGGAGUAAAUUAUUCUGCAUAGUUGGGGGAGUUUUUGUGAGAUUUCAUGGAAACCACACAAGUUAAGUACUGACAUAAUGGCUGACACCUAGUACAUUUCAAAUAUGUGCUGUUUCCCUGAUGCUUAUGGUACCCACUGGAAACUGUCAAUAGUAGGGAAGAAUUAUUUUCACGAAUAUUUAGUGGGAGAUUGCCCUGGGACAUUAACUUUUUAAAAUUACAUUUUGAACUCAGGGAUGAUCGUUCCUUCUCUCCCUGUUCACUCCUGUCCAGCUCUACACUCUGAGCUGGUCUCCAUCACAGCUUCUGCCUCGGCUCAAAAAACCCUUCCAUCAGAUUUUCCCAUUCUCUACACGAAAUCAUCUCCACCACACUUGCUGUGAUCCUCCUAUGGGAUUUCCCCUCCUAGCUCCCUCUUAGCCUCUGGCUCCUUACACUAUGUUUAUUUGCAGUCCUUUCCACGCAAGAUAAUUUGUUCACAUGCCUCCCAUAAAACUGUCAGCUCUGUGGAGCCAGGAACUGGAGCGCUUUCAUCAACUGAUGGGUCAGAGAGCAGUAAAACUCAGUGCCUGGCACGGAAGGACUGCUCCAUCAAUGUAUUUUUUUCCUGUAGGUACUCUUCUUUCCAUUUAAUUUUUUCAUGAUCUUUUUUUUACUGAUAUAUAGUCGAUUUACCAUGUUGUGUUAAUUCUCAUGUACAGCACAGGCCACCAGUAUUUGUUGACAGAACGCCUGCAUGACAGGUUGGUGACAUGGAUUGAAUCCACCAGUUUGACCCCUUAUUGAUCCUUAGUCACAGAUGUGAAUGAAUGCCUGAAUGCCGCGACUUGCCCUUCGAAAUCCACCUGCAGUAACACCGUGGGAAGCUACUUUUGCACCUGUAAACCCGGAUUUGAGUCAAGCAGCGGGGAACAACAUUUCACUGACUUCGGAGUGACUUGCAAAGAUAAGGAUGAAUGUAAGAACUCCACCUUGUGCCCACCUACAGCCACUUGCAAGAAUGCCCCAGGAAGAUACUUUUGUGUCUGCAAACCUGGAUUUGUGUCAAUGGAUGGGAAGAAUCAGUUUACUGGCCCUGGAACUUGCAGAGCAAAUUCGACUCCUUCAGGAAUCAACUCUACUUCCUCUACCCUGAGCCAAGAUACAUUUUCAAGAGGCUAUAGCCGACC